rnacentral:rRNA from 1 species
UACGUAGGUGGCAAGCGUUGUUCGGAAUUAUUGGGCGUAAGGGGCGCGUAGGCGGUUUGUUAAGUAAGCUGUGAAAGCCCGGGGCUCAACCCCGGAGGGUCAGCUGAUACUGGCAGACUAGAGUACAGAAGAGGUAACUGGAAUUCCCGGUGUAGCGGUGAAAUGCGCAGAUAUCAGGAGGAACACCGGUGGCGAAGGCAGCUCACUAGGCCUGGAUUGACGCUCAGGGACGAAAGCGUGGGGAGCAAACAGG